rnacentral:rRNA from 1 species
UACGGAGGGGGUAAGCGUUGUUCGGAAUUACUGGGCGUAAAGGGCUCGUAGGCGGCCAACUAAGUCAUACGUGAAAUCCCUCAGCUUAACUGGGGAACUGCGUGUGAUACUGGAUGGCUUGGAUUUGGGAGAGGGAUGCGGAAUUCCAGGUGUAGCGGUGAAAUGCGUAGAUAUCUGGAGGAACACCGGUGGCGAAGGCGGCAUCCUGGACCAAUAUUGACGCUGAGGAGCGAAAGCCAGGGGAGCAAACGGG